GUCGUGGAGGUAAAGCACUGAUUGGGUGCGGGGCCCGCCAAGGGUUACCAAGUCCAGUCAAACUCUGAAUGCCACAGACGUUAUCCCGGGAGUCAGACAGUGAGUGCUAAGAUCCAUUGUCAAGAGGGAAACAGCCCAGAUCAUCAGCUAAGGUCCCCAAGUGUGUGUUAAGUGGGAAAGGAUGUGGAGUUGCACAGACAACCAGGAUGUUGGCUUAGAAGCAGCCACCAUUGAAAGAGUGCGUAAUAGCUCACUGGUCGAGUGACUCUGCGCCGAAAAUGUAACGGGGCUAAACACACCACCGAAGCUAUGACGAGCGCAAUUACUUGCGCUGGGGUAGGGGAGCGUUGUAUGCGGGUAGAAGCUGGAUCGUGAGGACUGGUGGACUGCAUACAAGUG
rnacentral:rRNA from 1 species